AUGGCCACCAGAGGGGGAGUAGUGCUCAACCUGCGCGUCCCGUCGGCUUCAGUGGCGCCGGCGCGGCGGUGUGGGACGGCGUCGUCGUCGGUGAGAUGCGGGAGCGCGCGCGGGGCGGCGCCGGCGAGGCAUACGGAGGACCACUACCGGACUCUGAGGCUGCAGCCGGGCGCCACCAGGGGCGAGGUCAAGAAGGCCUUCCACCGCCUCGCGCUGCAGUACCACCCGGACGUCGUGCGCCAAGAAAACAGCGUGGACUUCGAGCGGAUCAACGCGGCGUACCAGAGGGUGAUGAGCAACAUGCGGGAGGCGGAGGCGACGCUCGAGUACUGGCGCCGCCGCUACGGCCUCGCGGACAAGGACCUCGACCGCUACCGCCACUACCCCAACGAGGAGGACGAGGACGACUGGUUCGCCGACCUCUGA
rnacentral:rRNA from 1 species